GUAAUCUUAGUUUAACCAAAACAUUUACUUUGCACGUAAACAUCUUAGGUCCUCAUCCCUAAAGCUUACA
rnacentral:tRNA from 1 species